AAACAAAACAAAACUCUAUUCCCAUUAAGGUUAGAAGCGUUUCAGAUAAAAAUGUUCUUUGUACCUUUCUUCUCUCAAAUUCUCCUAUCUACUGUUUAAAGUUGUUUUGUGUAGUGAUUUGGAUGGCAAUGGCAAAUAGUUACAAAGAGAAAUUACUUUGGAAUCAGCAGUCAUGGGUUUGAGGACUAGCUAUAUCAUUUACUGUCUUUCUGAAAUGAGCCAAUUACUUAAUCUCUCUGAGUCUCAGAUUUGUUACCUCACUGCCCAAAGGCAGUCUCAGAAUUCUUAAUAGGCGGAAACCAGGGAUCAACAUUUGGUUGGAAGAAGGGCCAGCAGGUCUUAUCUUGGGGCUGCAUUGACAGAGCAAGCACACUUAUUUUUACUUAGGUUGUAUAUUUGUUAGGGGUGGACUGAUGGAGAUUAAGGGGGUGCUUAAUCUCUCCUAAAUGACCGCUGGGCCUGCAAGCAAAACUUUGGAUAACUCACAAACAGUGUUAUGUCCACGAUCACGUGAGAUGUGCCUGGGAAAGGGCUUGAAUAUAUGUAUCCUAUUAUUACGUUUUUGGAAAUCAUAGUCUAGAAGGCAGUUCAGUCGAGGGUGUGGGGGAAGACUCUCUUCCUGAGCCUCAAAUGCUAUCUAUACCUUUUUGGAGAUCAGGUUUAUGGACCCAAAAGCCUCAGUCAGUUUUUCCUCAAAUGGGGAGUAGUAGGAUUCCCAGAGACCUGCUCUGAGCACAUCGUUUCUGGUCGCUGCUAACUCCUCUUGGAAAGGGAGAGAUUUGUGUAGUGUUUUAUACUAGGCAGUUCACUGUUUGAAUGAGUCACCCAGGACGUCAUUGCAGAUCUGAUCUUUCAUUUUUUGUCGAAUCCUCUCCGUAUCACUCUGUUAUGUCUCCUUUUCUGUGUCUCUAAAAGAGAGCAUAUAAUGGUUUAAUUGGUCAGUACCCAGUAUAGCAGAUUUAAAAUGUGUAAACCGUGACUCAGAUGUGCAGAAAUAUAACUUUAUUUUUCUGUAGCUGAACCCAGAGCACUCUUUAUGAUGAAGGCAGAAAAUGCUUAAUCUUGGUCACCUCCUCUUAGGUAUCAUAGAACAUGGAGCAAUUCAGAAUGUAAUCACACGGGUAGUUGGUUCACUAAGCUAUUCAAGGGCAGUGAGUGUGUCUUAGAUCUGUAUCUCCAGCACCUAGGAGAUUAUCUGAGAAAAGGAAGAUUGUCAAUAAAUGUUCAUUAAUAACACAAAAAUAUUUUUCAACUUUUGAGUUUUUGAGGUAGUCUAUAUGACACAGUAAUUCACUAUUAGAAAAAUUUGCUGGAUACAGGAGGCAAAUUCUUCUGCCUGAGUUUUAAGUGUUGGGGUCCCUGAGGACUGGGUUUCUAGACACUCUUGCCUUCUCGUUCUAAUCCCUUUUUCCUAAGUGAUCUCUAUUCUUCUGCUUCCAUUACCUUUCAUAUGCCUGAUGCCAAAAUGAGUAUUUCCAGGCCAGAUCUCUCUUUUGAGUGGCAGAUUCAUCUAUUCAGUGCCUGCAGUUGUUUUCCUGAAUGAGUCAGGCGUCUCAAACUCCCUAUGUCCAAAACUGAACUCAUGGUAUUAACUUCUAAAUCUGCUUCUUCUCUAGUGUUUCCCAGGCCAGGAAAAGCACAGCACCUCAACCCGUUUGCACACCUAUUCCUUCAACAAAUGUCUAUUGUGUGUCUGCAAUGUGUUAGGAACUAUACUAGAUGUCAGGAAUACAGUGAUGAAUAGGAAGGUCGUGGUCACUGCCCUCACUGAUCUUUCAAAUCUUUUACCCCUUACAUCCAAUCUAUUACCAAGUCCUAUCAUUCUGCUGGAAAACAUACUUCAAAUCAUCCCACUUCUCUCCAUUUCCACUACCACCACCCAAGUUCAGGUUACCAUUAUCUGUCAAAUGAGCUUCCACAGCAUACCCGUAAAGUGAUUUUUGUUGUACCCAUUCUUCUAUUCAUUUUCCCACUGCAAUCAUGGCAAAAUUCUUCAAGUGCAACCCUUAUAACAUCAUUCUCUGGGUUAAAAUUAUCCAGGGGCUUCCACUAUAAAAUCCUUAACAUGACACAUAAGGCCACAGACAAUUUAGUCUCCACUUACCUCUCCACUUUAGUCUUCUGCUAUACUCCCCUUCUCUCUCUAUGAUACAGCCACGUGGUGUUCUUUCAGUUCCUUGAGGGCUCACACUGAUGAAGUGCCUUCCCAUUGCUGGGCUUUUACCAGUGUUAUUUCCUGCUUGGAAAGCUAGCUGCCCACUGCUCCUUGCUUCCAGCAGGGUAACUCUCACUUAUCCUCAAGAAAGAAUCCUGGUGUUGCUGUUUAUUCAGUGGCUUUCCUCUGACAUACUGUAACCUCCAUCACAGCAGUGUCCUUAUCUAUUUUAUUUACCACCGUAUCCUCAGCCAGCAUGACUCCUGCCACAGAGCAACUGUGUGAUAAAUACCUGUAGAAUGGAUAAAUGAAUUAACAUUAUUCAGCUUCCUACUUCUUAACAGAUGAUUCCUGUUUAAAUCCAAGAGUUCACUAAAUCCUCUAUUCAGUGAUAUUGUAUCAAGAAAAAGACUUCCCAUUAUUCCUAAUGUUUUUCAAACAACUUUAGAAAGGGAAGACAGUGGGGAAAAAUGUAACAAACUUAAAUUUACAGCAGUUCAUUCUAAUUUUUAGAAUUUUCAUUUUUAUGUUAGCCAAAGCAUAUGAAGUGGUUUGAUGCAAGAUUUCUGCCUGACAGAAGUGUCCUCCACUGGCUAAGAUAACUGGGCGGACACUCACCAAGACCCUACUUUCAGAUAUGUUGCUAUCUAAAUGACUUUGGACUCAUGGGUUAUACCCUAUUGAUAAAAUUGUAUAUCAGUGGAGUCGUCACAGCUCUUCCUGGCAACACACCCCUGUGCCUCAUAAACCUUAAGGUAAGAAAGUCUUCCUUAUGGCCAAAGUUAAGCGCUUUUGAAUGCAUUGCCAUUACCUAUACUUUUUGGAAGUCCCAAAGCCCUUUAUAUAGUUCCAAAAAAGUAUAGAAAUCCUUUUUUUUUUUUUUUUUUUACUAUUCUUGUGCAUGCUCU
rnacentral:lncRNA from 1 species